UACGGAGGGUGCGAGCGUUUGUCCGGAAUCACUGGGCGUAAAGGGCGCGUAGGCGGCGCGGGUAGUCAUCGGUGAAAGUUCAGGGCUCAACUCUGAAUCGGCCGGUGAUACUCCCGUGCUCGAGCACUGUAGAGGCAGGUGGAAUUCCGGGUGUAGCGGUGGAAUGCGUAGAGAUCCGGAAGAACACCGGUGGCGAAGGCGGCCUGCUGGGCAGUAGCUGACGCUGAUGCGCGACAGCGUGGGGAGCAAACAGG
rnacentral:rRNA from 1 species